rnacentral:rRNA from 1 species
AGCGUAGACGGCAAGGCAAGUCUGAUGUGAAAACCCAGGGCUUAACCCUGGGACUGCAUUGGAAACUGUCUGGCUCGAGUGCCGGAGAGGUAAGCGGAAUUCCUAUUGUAGCGGUGAAAUGCGUAGGUAUUAGGAAGAACACCAGUGGCGAAGGCGCCUUUCUGGACUGUGUCUGACGCUGAGAUGCGAAAGCCAGGGGAGCGAACG